rnacentral:rRNA from 1 species
GACGAACGCUGGCGGCGUGCCUAAUACAUGCAAGUGAAGUUCGGUGGCGGACGGGUGAGUAACACGUGGGUAACCUGCCCUCCUUUUUGGGAUACGCCUUGGAAACGGGGUCUAAUACCGAAUAACGGGGGAGGGGCUCGCGGCCUAUCGGCUUGUUGGUGGGUGGAUGGCCUUCCAAGGCGGUGCCGGGUAGCCGGCCUGAGAGGGUGAACGGGCACAUUGGGACGGAGAUACGGCCCAGACUCCGAAGGGAGGGAGAAGUGGGGGAUAUGGCAGAAUGGGAGAAAGCCUGAUGCAGCGUCGCUGAGGGGGGGAUGAAGGCUGUAGGGUUGUAAAAGUCUUGAGCUAUCGAACGGGUAGGGGGAGAAGAAGCGCCGGCUAACUACGUGCCAGCCGCCGCGGUAAUAC